GGCUGGAGGCGGUGGGCCCUGAGCCCUCAACUGGGUGGCCGAGGUGAGCGGGGGAAGAUGGCGGAGUGAGAGGAAGAGGCGGAGGGGAGAGGGCCGGCCGGCCGGCCCCGGCCCGGCGGCCUCGGCCAGGGGCAGGUUCACUUGUAUUCCAUUUUGAGUGCCAAUCAGCAAACUGAAAAGGAAGGGCUCUGGGUGGAAAAUGAUGGCACAUGUGGCCAUGAGGUUAAGGGCCUGUUCCUGGCAUCCCAGAAGAAAUUAUCCUGUUACUUUUGCUUAGAAACUGAUCAUAGACAGCAAAUGGUGGAUGCUCCACUACUGGUGAAGAAAAGUCUUUUCCUUAUCUCCAUAGCGUGUAAUGAGGAAGUAUUCUUCUCUUUAUGUUUCAACUUCUUAAACCGGCAUUUGAUGUAUGGAGUCUGCACCAGCUGGCUUCCCCCAUAGGAGCACACAGCAAGCAUUUUACCAACCCUUACAAGCGAGCAACUGAAAUCAAUGUUUGAUAUGUCCCUGAAGUGAUGUCUUCAGAGUUUUUGAGCUCUGUUUUGCACCCUAGAGAAGAGUUUUACAAGCAUGCUUACACAGAAACCAGUCUUCUUGAAUGGUAUCUCCUUUCUAUAUCUUAGGAGGGUAACAUCUUCUUCCACUGUGUCCUAUUGGAGAACCAAGUAAAUGGAUAAUGCAUCUGCAUGUGAUGCUGUGCCAAGCUAUUUCAACAUGUGUGAAAGGUUGCAGCAUGAAUACAUUUCCACCCUGAAAUGAGGAACAAACUUUAAAAAAAAAACAAAAAAAACCCCACAAUCCUGGAAAAUCCCAUAACGAGGAUGUCCUAAUCCAGAACAAAGAACUGACUUUGUAGAUAAAUAUCUCAAUGUCACCUCGUGAAGCAGCUAAUGCACAGAAACAAAUACAGAAUUACCUUGUUCAUCAUGGAUGAAUGAAUCAUCACAUUCUGUGAUCAAAAGUAUUUGCAUGUGUAAAUCCACAUAACCAGUGAAUGUGAAGAGCUUUCACCAGGAAAAGAAGUUGCUCUGCACUGUCUCUUUUUGUAGCAAGCCCCUUCCCUAAGAAGGUGAAUCUUUGAGAACUUCCUAGUGCUAAAGUUGAUCCUAUAGUGUUGGGUUUACAUUGUACCUCCAAUCUUCUCCAGCAGCUUCAGCAGCAAAAGGAACAAAAAACUCUGUGAUCCAAGAGAUGGGACAGAACUUCUUCUUUUUAAUAAAGGAACUGGCCUCUGGUGGGAUGGGAGAGGCUACAAAUAUAAUGUUCCAACUCGUCCCCUCAGGGUCCUGAGUGCAGUUUAUAACUUCUUCAAACAGCUAAUGGAGUUGGUUUUUAACUCUCCUUUGGCUACUGGAGAACUGGGAUGAGUACUCUUCCAGGGUGUAGUUGGGAGGUCUGAUGGAGAAACAAGUUCAGAGAAAGCAGAAAUGCUGAGGAAAGUGUGCUCUUUUUCUGGCUCCUCCAUCCCAAACUAAGGAGGAGAUCAUGGUUCUCACGUGUUUACACCAGAUUCUUUGUCUCUGUCACUUGUGACUUAUACGGGAUGUUUUCCUUCCAUUUUAGAUAGAAGCUUUAUGUUGUUUAGUUGCUCCCUGCAGUGGUUGUCUGUCUGGUCAAUGAGGUUUCUUGGUGGAAAGGCCAUAAUUGGUUUAUCUGUUUUCUUCCGCUUGAACCUGGACCUCUUCAUAGUGCACCUUAUUCCAAACUUGUGUUAAUGUGAAUUUAGCAAAUGUGAUUUGCUGAUUUUAAAAAAAAUACAAUUUCAAAUCUGGAUCAAAAAAGGGGUAUAGGCUCUGUUUAUAUUAUUUUUUUGUUUUCUUUUAGAAAACCACUGGAGAGAGUCAGGCAGCCUAAAAAUGGCUUUAAAAAAAAAAAAAAAAAAAAAGCUGAAAUUCUACUUAGCUCCUGGUGACAAGUAGCGAGAGCAACAUUUUAUGACUGGUAGAGAAGGGAAGGGGUUAUAAAAGGAUGGGGAAGAGAGAAUCUCUUAAAAAAAACUUUUUCUUAUAUCUGUCUAAUCUAUCAUAGUGGAAGUUGAAGGAGAACAAAUUCUGGAGUUGAACAAACUCAUGCACUGGCUUUGGUCCUGCUCUUCCCUCCUGGGAAUAAAGUUGUGUAGAGCCACAGUGAACUUGUGUUGUAACAAUAAGGUUUAAUUACAUCUUUUCCUGUUUUGUGCUCUCUUGGAGAGAAAAUCAGUCUCAUUGGGUAGGAACUAUUGAGCUGUACAUUUCAUGCUGAAAAUAGCACAAGAUGUAAUGGCAUCAGAAUAUAAUAAGCACCAAUGCAGCACAGUCAGCUACGUGUAUUGUUCACUUGGAGAAAUGAUUAUAUUUGUCAUGGGUAGGCAAUUGGGCUGGUUUCCUUUAAAUACAGUGCAGUCCCUUGCCAAACAGAAUUUGGAUUUUUGAGUGUUAAAGACAACUGGAAAAAUACGUUCCCUUUUAGGGCCGCCUCUUACUGAAGUCAGUGGGAUUUUGAAUUGAUUUCAGUAGAGGCAGGAUCAGGCCAUUAGUGAGGGAAAUCUCUGCUGUCAAUGUCACAGGUUUAGAUGUGAUUAGAAGGCAUCCGUUAUGGCAAAUGUGUGUUCUUAAGCCUGGUGAUUCUUCUUUUCACCUUCCUGACUCUUAUUUGUCCUCCUUCUGACAUAACCACUUGCAGCUGUUUCUAGCACAGCUUGAUAGAAAAUUUGAUAUUUUCCCCCAUAUAUUGUAAAAGGCAGAGAAUGGACUCUGGAGAAGGUGGACACACUUUAGCCCACUUUGCCACAUUGAUAGGAAUAAUUGUCUCCACGCUCUGCCUGAUAAUGAAAAAAUGGAAACAAAUGUUGACUUUCCCUGCCUGCCCCCUACCAUGUAACCACUUGAUUAAUUUUUAAGAUAGGGCUAAUGUUCUGUGGCGUCACAGGAUGCAGUUGUGCAUGCCCAAAAGAACCCACCCCAGUAUGCUUCCUGCCACCUUUUUUAUGAAACUGCUGUGCCAGGCAAUACUGCCUCAGCCUUUAGACUUUACUCUUUGCUCCGCUUCUGUUUCUCCAUAUUGGUUGGAAAUCUUCCCGUAUGAAAGGUUAAACAAAUAAAUAAGGGGCAUGUGCAAUAGAUAUAUAUACAUAUAUAUAUUUUAAUACUUGUGGACAAAAUGAUGUUACAAGUUGUUUGAAAACAACAAAAUCACCAAUGUCUUCCAUUUUGAGAUGUGUAUAGUUCCAUAAGCAUUAGUGCUUCGUAGCAAACUGUAGUGCCAUGUUAGGAUCAGUGCAUGAGCCUAGUAGUAUUUUUACAAUUUCAGAGUGGCAAAUUAUUUAAUGACAAUGAUAAACAAUAAUGUAACUAACAGUAGAAAGUAGACAGUAACAGAUGUUAUGAACGUGGUCUAAAGAUGCAGUAUCCUUCUUAGGCAGUCGUAGUGACAAUGCUAUCUUUGGAACCAGAAUUUAUUAAAUUGAUGGGCUUUGUGGAAUAAUAGCUGACUUUUUUUUGUAUUGUUUUUGGUAAAGUCUGUCCAAGCUAAACAGUAGACUGUGAGCAUCCAGACUAAUCAUCUCUUCGUCCAUAUAAAGUGAACUGCAAGACAGAUCCAGGACACACACCAAAUUGACAAUGGCAUUUGUUUCCUUUUAGUCUUAAUGAAACACACUAAACUGUUCUUGCAGACUCUUAUUUUCAUGUAGACCGCUUCAUUACUACCCAUCCCAUCCAUCAUACAGAAGCUGAAGAGCCACUGUAUGUGUUUUAUAGGCAACUCUGCCACCUUCUCAUAUGGGUAUAAUUAAUGAGCUCUGUUAACUAUUGAACAGAGUAAUUUUGCAGAAAUAACUCUGUUUAAAAAAUAUGAUACUAAUGUUAAUCUUAAUUAGUAAGACUAGUUAAAUUAUUAAAUUCAAAUUGCUGUCUACAAGUUUUGUCAGAUUUGUACACUUAAAACCCUAAAUUAUAGAUUGACACUUCCAGUACUUUUCCUAGCUAUCUGGUUUUUUUUUUGGUUUUUUUUAACUGCGUGGCAGUUUUCUCUCUCUCUCCAUAAUGCCUCUCCCUCUACUUUCUGAGAAUGGAAAGCUGAGCUAGGUGAAAUCCAAAUGGUUUAUCACUAAGGAUAAGAUUUUGUUGUGGAAGUCAUAAAUUCUGUGACUUUUAGAGACCUCUGUGACAUUUUCCCUUCAGCUUCAGCCCUGCGUCCGGAGUGGUGGGGCGAGAGUUGUCAGCUGGCGGGGGCUCUGAGCCACUGCGGGUGCAGGGCCCCCACUGCCAUCAGCCACUGCAGGCAGUGGGGUCCCGCAUCUCUGAGCCACUGGCCUCAGAGAUCUGAGCCACUGUGAGCAGAGGGGACCUGUAGCUGUCAGCCGCUGUGGACAGUGGGGGCCCCAGAGCUCUCAGUCACUGGCACUGGAGCCAUCAGCAGCUGCAGGAGCCUUGGAGCUGUCAACCACAGUGGGUGCUGGAGCUCCCCCCUCCUUCAACUGCAGGGCUUGGGCUUCAGUUGUCCCCUGCUCAGUUCCCCCAUCCCCAUUAUUUUUAGUAAAAGUCAGAGACAGAUCAUGGGCUUCCCUGAAUUUUUUUAUUGCCCGUGACCUGUCCCUGACUUUUACUAAAAAUAACUGUGACAAAAUCUUAACUUUAUUUAUCACUUUCUCAGGCAGUUUAGGCUACUGAAACAAGAGAUUGGAAAUGACUCCCAACCCAGGUUUGCAACAAUCUAUGUAUCGUAUCUAUCUGAUUUCCUGGAAUAGCUUUUUAAUUGCUGUCACUAUUGUUUUUCACCCACCUCUGUUUUAAAAAUAACAAAGACUGCUGUCAUCUACAAGAGGAUACUGCAUCUUUUCUUGAGACCUGCCUGUAAAUGGCCACCUGGGAAAAAUGGGUAGCUUGGGUUUCUGAGUUGAUCUAGAUUAAUUAAAUGGGCAAAAUGUAUUGAGAUAACAAAACCAGUGAUUCUUGCAGAGUUAAUUAUGUAAUAAAAAACAGAGUCUCUGCAUAUUCCAUCUCUCCAUGUAUAUUGGGCAGGUGGGCUGUUUACAGUAGAGCUCUGGGGAACUGUGCUCAAAGCUAGUUCAGUUCUGAACAAAAGUAGCUAUACCAUUGAAUCAAGUAGUUUAGUGCUUGGGGGAAUCAAUUGAUUAAAAAAUACCUCUGAAACUGGAAUGCAAAAUAGCACAGUAUGUAGGGGGAAAUAUCCCUGAUGCAAACAAAGCCAUAAAAAGAUUUAAUAAAACUAGAAUUUUAGUAGCAAUAACUGUUUUGCAUGUAAUAGUAACUAACUUGCAUUAGCAAGAUUGUACAGUAGAAUAAGUGGUAAUAACCAAAUAAGUUUGUGGUCUGUGCUGCAGGGAGUUGCAUGAAGAGAACAGUGUCUCUUUUUUUAAGAAGAUAGAAGAAUUCCUCUUACUGUUCCCCUCUUUUGAGGGAAUAUGGCGCUUAAAUACCAUGGUAAUGAGCCUGGUAUUUAACCUGGAUAACUAUAGGUCAUGCGUCAGAAUUGGUGCAUGUAGGGGAAGAGUGGGCAGUUGUGUAUGAGUGACUGGUUUCCCUAUUGCUUGUUUUGUAGUGUAGCAUGUGCAGUGCCUCUGAGAGGAAAGUGCUGAGAUAUGAAGAAGACUCGUUUCCCACAGUUGGAAAGCAUAAUUCAAGCUUUUAUUGGAGAGAGGAGUUUUUGUUUUUUGUAUAAAGAAACUAAGUAGAGCUGUGACAGGUCUUAAAAAGAAAGUAUUGCAAAAUGUUGACAAAUCAAAUGUUUGUUCUGCAGGGACAGAAUUGCAGGAUUUAUUUAUUUCAAAAGACUAUCCUACUUCCUCUUUUAAAAUGUUAAGUACAAACUGGCCAUAUGCUUCCAUUUAAGAUUAAAACUGUUUUCUGUUCACCUUUUGAGUUUUGCAAAGCCAGUUGCAGUAGAUUCUCUGGUAAGGCAGAGGAGAAUUGAUCUGCUGCUGUGGUAUUUGUCCCUGGCAACUAUUAGAGGGGCACUCAAAAGAGCCCAUGGAGUUUUAAAAUACAGCCCACAGCUGACCUUGUCUUCAGUACAGAAGUGUAGCCUGCAGAGAAUAUACAGCUCAGCAUGCCAUGUUCUGUCCUGAGUUGAAUUAUUAAACCAAAGUGUGUAUUGAUCCAUGUGGUGGCUUAAUCUCUUUGAUCAGGAUGGGAUAUUGCAUGCUACCAUCUGUAGUGUCAGAGAGUGGCUGAACUUUGCUUCAUUAUUUAGUAAACUCGUGGGGCCAUUUGUCCCCUGGCAAGUUGAUAACAUGACCCUGUGUUGAGCCAAAAUGUGGGCACCCCUGAUAUAAUGUAACCAAGAUGGAUGUAUGGAUAAGUAGUUAAGUGUUAGCAAGUAGGGCAUAUCCAAUAGUAGUCUUGGACAUGAAAACCUGUGAUCUAAAAGAUGAUGAUUUGAAAUAAAUUCCAGCCAUUAAAUUAUUAUUAAAACAGGAAACAUACCAAGAGGAGACCUUAACUUGACCAUGUCUUAGUCAUACCACAUGGUAUUAGACCAGCCGUAUACAAUUACGAAAGUCUAAUUGCCAGUCUUUUACCAUACUAAUGAAAACACUAUCUUGCUCAUAUUUCCAGAAUAUGUAUUUUUCCUAGCUGAGUAGAGUUUUGCAAGACUGUGUUACACAGUUACAAUGAAAACUUGAAGGCUAUUGGCUUGUUGCUGCCAGUGCAGACUUUCUGGUGUACUAUUCUCCAGGGGUGACUAAAUUUCCAAAGACUGCUCACAGCAGCACUGUCAGAGAUCCUGCUGCCCUAAGGCUACUGAGCUGUGGUCUGAUUCCCUCCCAAGCCCUUGAUUCUGCUUUGUUUUGCAAGCAAGGAAAAGUUCAGCUAAUGUGAUGGUUGUCAAGUAGUGCCAUGCUAAUACUAGGUCUAAGCAGUGCUAAGUCUAGAUCAGAAAUGUAUGGGCUGUGCAGAAACCUGUGGUCUGCUGUCUUGCUCACUGGUGCUGCUGGAGAAGUUCUAGCCAGUACCUGUGCUGUGAAUUGCAGCUCUUGCUCAAUACAGCUGGCUGUUAAAGACCUUCUCAGCACUAUGAAAUCCUUGUGGCAAGUUUUUGGGAAUAGAGAGCUGUGGCAAGCUUCAGGACAAUGAUAUUUUAAAUAGGGCUUCACUACCAGCUCUGCUGUCAAGGUUAUUUUCAGGGCUUUAUGGAAGUACUCCUCUGUAAUAACGGGAGAACAGAACCUUUUCUGCGGAAGUUUGUCAGUGCUCCUAGAGACCCCUUUUUUCCCCUGGAUUGCAGUGACCAUCCUUUCAGCUGUGAAUGGAGACUAGCUGAGAUUUCCUUCCAAGCCCAUUUGGACAGCUUUUUACUUGAGCCAGAGGGCUAUAUGUUGGGCAAUUCAAGGUGCAGCCUUUCCUCCCAAAGGUUCAGCAUGUUGCCUCCACAGUAUGGCCAGGCUAAAGCACCAAGGGCCAGCAGUGGAACCUGGGUGUCUCACAUAGCAGCGCAGAAUGCUACCUAUGGACACCCCCAUCCUCCCACAUUUUCCUUCAGUCUGCUUUGCACUUUUUCCUGAAGUUUGACUUUAGAAUAAUGUGUAUACAUACACAGCAUAAGUAAAGGAUAUGUCUGGCACUAAACCUACAUACUAAGCAGUCACAGUGUACCCAAAUUCUCUAAGGCUUACCUUCUAUCUUUACUGUCAGAUGUUCUAACUUGCUGUAGUAUAUGUCCUGUGUAAAUUCUGUUUUCUCUCCAAACUGAAUGUGUGUUUGCAGGGCAACUAAGAGAAUGUUCAUUUGUGAAGCUCUAGGCACAAAGAACUGCAUGGACAAAAUGAGGAAGAGUGGCACAGGCCCACAAAUCAAGUCUUUUAUAGAGCUAGUAUUCUAAUUAUGCAUGAUUCAAAAUGUCUAGUGUUACAUAGUUAUUACCAGUAAAUUCAGAUAUGCAUUUAUUCAUAAUGAAGCAAUAGGAACUAAUAUACCAAUAGCUUGAACUUACUGCUUUGAUUCUCAAAUGUUGUUUUUAGAGAAUGCACUGCCUCUGUAGAGAAAGGGGCAGAUUAUACAGAUAGGGACAGAAGCAUGGCACCAAAACUGCAUAUCAGGAACGAGGAUCAUCAGAACUCGCCUUUUUAACCUCUUGCCUGGUUCACAUUAGGCCCUGAGCAUGUAAAAAACAGGGCAUGAACUAAGCAUGUUUAGUGGCGAGAUGAGGUUUCUCAGCUGCUGCAAUUGUAGCAAACAGAAAGGUGCAGAGUUUCCCAGGGUGUGGGGAGGGCAACAGGUGAAAUCCAAGUUGGAUAACAUAAAAACUGACUCAUAGUAAACUGAGUGUAGGAUUUGCUUGACAAUAGGUGAAAGAGUUCUUGGCCUAGUGAGGUAAAUUCUUUGGAGGGUGUUGAAAUCAAUAAGCACAGUCCACAUAUUUCAGGUGUUGAAUAGCUUUUUAAUAGUAUUUUCAGGUAACUCUUUAGCCACAUAGGCCGCUGUACUGAAGCAUGCUGGUAUGAACCAGCAGUAAUGGCACCCUGUAAGAAUGAACCUGAAGUUUUUGACAAAUUUGUGUUUUUAUUUUGUUGAGCUCUGUGACUAAAAUUUUUUAAAAGUUAUAAAAUGAGAUUUGCUCAGUGGAUGUCCUGACCUCUAGCAACAUAGGUGACAAUGUUUUGUUCUUAAUUCACUGAUUGAAAAAAGUGAUUGACAUGAGAGAACUAAUGGAAAUCAGGUGCCAUCUAUUUGUUUGCAAACUUUUACUAUGUUUUCUGCAAAGAAUAUUUCUUGAGCCACUUUGUGGGUGUUUGGGGAAAAAUUCUGCUGAGAAUGUUUAAAAAAAAAAAAAAAGAAAAAUUAUGGUAUCUGUAGCAGAG